rnacentral:rRNA from 1 species
CGUGUAGGCGGAUUGGUGUGUCGGAUGUGAAAUCCCCAGGCUCAACCUGGGAACUGCACCCGAAACUACCAGUUUCGAGUGGUGGAGAGGGAAGUGGAAUUCCUGGUGUAGAGGUGAAAUUCGUAGAUAUCAGGAGGAACACCAGUGGCGAAGGCGGCUUCCUGGACACCAACUGACGCUGAGACGCGAAAGCGUGGGGAGCAAACA